rnacentral:rRNA from 1 species
CCGAAUCAGAGAGAGGCCCAAAAGAUGCAGAUGGACAGGAGGUCGAUCCCGUCGGAGAAGAAAGACUUGGUAGACGCCCUUCGUCGCCACCGUGAGAUCCUGAGGUGGGAGACCGAUUUGCUGAGGAGCGAGAUCACGUCCCGGGAUCUGGCGACGAUCUCCGGAAAGAAGGCUUAUCUAAAGCGUCAUAAUGCCGAUGGUGAUGGGAGAUCUAUAUCACCUCAGUUGGUCGACCACAUGUCCCUCCACAAGAUCAAAGAAAUCAAACCGGUGAGUUUGCCCUACCUCACGGAUAAUCAUGAAGAGGCCCUGGAUCUGCUCGUGCACGGGGCACACAAAUUGGCCUACCGGAUCCAGUCUCUGAGGAAAGAAUUCAGUGCCACCAUCCCCUUGGAGAAGCUCAGAUUAUUCCAUCUCCUGUCGCAAGAAUGU